UACUACCGAAGCUACGGCAUCAGUAAUGAUGGGUAGGGGAGCUUCCCAUACGGGUUGAAGCAUGACCGUAAGGACAUGUGGACAGUAUGGGAGUGAGAAUGUUGGCAUGAGUAGCGAGAUGUGGGUGAGAAUCCCACAGGCCGUAAACCCAAGGUUGCCAGGGGAAGGUUCGUCCGCCCUGGGUUAGUCGGGACCUAAGCUGAGGCCGAAAGGCGUAGGUGAUGGACAACAGGUUGAUAUUCCUGUACUACCGAUAACCGUUUGAGAGAUGGGAUGACACAGUAGGAUAAGCUAAGCACACUGUUGGUUAUGUGUGCCCAAGCAUUGAGGCAGUCAAAGUAGGCAAAUCCGCUUUGAUAAUGCUGGGAUGUGAUGGGGAGCGAAAUUUAGUAGCGAAGUAGCUGAUUUCACACUGUCAAGAAAAGUCUCUAUCGAGGUUAAAGGUACCCGUACCGCAAACCGACACAGGUG
rnacentral:rRNA from 1 species